UCGGUAGGUGAACUUGCGGAGGGAUCAUUA
rnacentral:rRNA from 1 species